UACGUAGGGGGCUAGCGUUGUCCGGAUUUAUUGGGCGUAAAGAGCGUGUAGGCGGCCAGAUAAGUCCGCUGUGAAAUCUCGAGGCUCAACUUCGAGCUGUCGGUGGAAACUAUCUGGCUAGAGUCCGGAAGAGGAGAAUGGAAUUCCUGGUGUAGCGGUGAAAUGCGCAGAUAUCAGGAGGAACACCGGUGGCGAAGGCGGAUCUCUGGGCCAUUACUGACGCUGAGGAGCGAAAGCGUGGGGAGCGAACAGG
rnacentral:rRNA from 1 species